CUUCCAGAGCGCUCACCAGAGGAGAGGAAAAAAAUUACACUUUCUUGCUGCUAUGCAACCCCAGAACUUCCUUGAGGCCAUAAAUGGGCAGGCUGUUGAUUCAUACUCUGAGUUUUUUUUUCUUCUUUUUCUCUUUUUUUUUUUUUCUCCUCGUCCUCCCGCUCAGUGGAAGGGAGGGCUGCCUGACUACUUGCGUGUCUCUGACGCAGAACUGCAGUGAUGUGGGCGCAAGGUGUGUGCUUGUAUGCGAUGUGCUGUCUGUGUCCUCUUACAACUGCUAUCGGUAAGUUGCUGAUGGUCUGGACGUAGUUCUGUGGAUCAUCAAAUGAAGGCAGAGGUCUCAGUGGUGUUCUUCAGGAUUUCCAUGACGGCCAAGAGAUCGCCGCUGUACUUGGCCCCUUCAUCAGAGGAGAAUCUCAGCCGCGAAAUCACCUCGGCGACCCCGUCCACGCUCUGCCCCAUCUGCGCUUUGGAAACGUAGUCCCUCGACUGCAGAGGAAGAGUCGAGAGCGCUUCUGCUCUCCCUUAUCACCGGGGCAUGGCUCUCCACCAAAGAAAGGCCCUUCACACACUCUCUGCCUCUGCUGGAUGCCUCCACCGCAAGUCUUGCUGCAGCUGCCCCAAGCGCUCCAUGCGUGCCAACGUCCAUCAACUAAAGACACAGAACAUUGCA